CGGGCGGACGGGUGAGUAACGCGUGGGUAACCCUGCCUCAUACAGGGGGAUAACAGUUAGAAAUGACUGCUAAUACCGCAUAAGCGCACAGGACCGCAUGGUCCGGUGUGAAAAACUCUGGUGGUAUGAGAUGGACCCGCGUCUGAUUAGCUGGUUGGUGAGGUAACGGCCCACCAAGGCGACGAUCAGUAGCCGACCUGAGAGGGUGGCCGGCCACAUUGGGACUGAGACACGGCCCAAACUCCUACGGAAGGCAGCAG
rnacentral:rRNA from 1 species